rnacentral:rRNA from 1 species
GGGUACUCGAGUGGCGAACGGGUGAGUAACACGUGGGUGAUCUGCCCUGCACUUCGGGAUAAGCCUGGGAAACUGGGUCUAAUACCGGAUAGGACCACAUUUUGGAUGGUGUGGUGGAAAGUUUUUCGGUGUGGGAUGAGCUCGCGGCCUAUCAGCUUGUUGGUGGGGUAAUGGCCUACCAAGGCGUCGACGGGUAGCCGGCCUGAGAGGGUGUACGGCCACAUUGGGACUGAGAUACGGCCCAG